rnacentral:rRNA from 1 species
UCAAGUAAUUAAGUGCAUGUGGUGGAUGCCUUGGCAGUCAGAGGCGAUGAAAGACGUGAUAGCCUGCGAAAAGCUCCGGGGAGGCGGCAAAUAUCCUUUGAUCCGGAGAUGUCUGAAUGGGGGAACCCACCUACUUUAAGGUAGGUAUUGCAACAUGAAUACAUAGUGUUGCAAGGCGAACGAGGGGAAGUGAAACAUCUCAGUACCCUUAGGAAAAGAAAUCAAUUGAGAUUCCCUCAGUAGCGGCGAGCGAACGGGGAUCAGCCCAUUAAGUUAUGUGUGUUUUAGUGGAACGCUCUGGGAAGUGCGAACGUAGAGGGUGAUAUUCCCGUACACGAAAGGGCACACAUAAUGAUGACGAGUAGGGCGAGGCACGUGAAACCUUGUCUGAAUAUGGGGGGACCAUCCUCCAAGGCUAAAUACUCCUGACUGACCGAUAGUGAACCAGUACCGUGAGGGAAAGGCGAAAAGAACCCCUGUGAGGGGAGUGAAAUAGAUCCUGAAACCGCAUGCAUACAAGCAGUGGGAGCACCUUCGUGGUGUGACUGCGUACCUUUUGUAUAAUGGGUCAGCGACUUAUAUUCAGUAGCGAGGUUAACCGUAUAGGGGAGCCGUAGAGAAAUCGAGUCUUAAUAGGGCGUUUAGUUGCUGGGUAUAGACCCGAAACCAGGCGAUCUAUCCAUGAGCAGGUUGAAGGUUGGGUAACACUAACUGGAGGACCGAACCCACUGUCGUUGAAAAGCCAGGGGAUGACUUGUGGAUAGGGGUGAAAGGCUAAUCAAGCCUGGUGAUAGCUGGUUCUCCCCGAAAGCUAUUUAGGUAGCGCCUCGGACGAAUACCAUAGGGGGUAGAGCACUGUUUCGGCUAGGGGGUCAUCCCGACUUACCAAACCGAUGCAAACUCCGAAUACCUAUGAGUACUAUCCGGGAGACAGACUGCGGGUGCUAACGUCCGUAGUCAAGAGGAAAACAAUCCAGACCGCCAGCUAAGGCCCCAAAAUCAUAGUUAAGUGGGAAACGAUGUGGGAAGGCAUAGACAGCUAGGAGGUUGGCUUAGAAGCAGCCACCCUUUAAAGAAAGCGUAAUAGCUCACUAGUCGAGUCGGCCUGCGCGGAAGAUGUAACGGGGCUAAAACUAUGUGCCGAAGCUGCGGAUGUAUACUUUGUAUACGUGGUAGGGGAGCGUUCUGUAAGCCGAUGAAGGUGUGUUGAGAAGCAUGCUGGAGGUAUCAGAAGUGCGAAUGCUGACGUGAGUAACGACAAAACGGGUGAAAAACCCGUUCGCCGAAAGACCAAGGGUUCCAGUCCAACGUUAAUCGGGGCUGGGUGAGUCGACCCCUAAGGCGAGGCCGAAAGGCGUAGUCGAUGGGAAAAUGGUUAAUAUUCCAUUACUUCUGUGUAAUGCGAUGAGAGGACGGAGAAGGCUAAAUCAGCCUGGCGUUGGUUGUCCAGGUGAAAGGAUGUAGGCAUGUAUCUUAGGCAAAUCCGGGGUACUCUAUGCUGAGAUCUGAUAGCAAGCUGUACUUGUACAGCGAAGUGGUUGAUGCCAUGCUUCCAGGAAAAGUCUCUAAGCUUCAGUUACACAGGAAUCGUACCCGAAACCGACACAGGUGGUCAGGUCGAGUAGACCAAGGCGCUUGAGAGAACUCUGCUGAAGGAACUAGGCAAAAUGGUACCGUAACUUCGGGAGAAGGUACGCUGUUGUUGGUGAUGGAACUCGCUUCCUGAGCUGACGACAGCCGCAGAAACCAGGCCGCUGCAACUGUUUAUUAAAAACAUAGCACUCUGCAAACACGAAAGUGGACGUAUAGGGUGUGAUGCCUGCCCGGUGCUGGAAGGUUAAUUGAUGGGGUUAGCGUAAGCGAAGCUCUUGAUCGAAGCCCCAGUAAACGGCGGCCGUAACUAUAACGGUCCUAAGGUAGCGAAAUUCCUUGUCGGGUAAGUUCCGACCUGCACGAAUGGCAUAAUGAUGGCGGCGCUGUCUCCAGCAGAGGCUCAGUGAAAUCGAAAUCGCUGUGAAGAUGCAGUGUACCCGCGGCUAGACGGAAAGACCCCGUGAACCUUUACUGCAGCUUGACACUGAACUUUGACCUUACUUGUGUAGGAUAGGUGGGAGGCUUUGAAGCUGGAACGCUAGUUCCAGUGGAGCCGUCCUUGAAAUACCACCCUGGUAAUGUUGAGGUUCUAACUCUGUCCCGUGAUCCGGGACGAGGACCGUGUCUGGUGGGUAGUUUGACUGGGGCGGUCUCCUCCUAAAGAGUAACGGAGGAGUACGAAGGUGCGCUCAGCGUGGUCGGAAAUCACGCGUAGAGUAUAAAGGCAAAAGCGCGCUUAACUGCGAGACCCACAAGUCGAGCAGGUACGAAAGUAGGUCUUAGUGAUCCGGUGGUUCUGUAUGGAAGGGCCAUCGCUCAACGGAUAAAAGGUACUCUGGGGAUAACAGGCUGAUACCGCCCAAGAGUUCAUAUCGACGGCGGUGUU